GGAGUCUGGACCGUUUCUCAGUUCCAAUGUGGCCGUACAACCUCUCAGUCCGGCUACCCGUCUUCGGCUUGGUGAGCCGUUGCCUCACCAACUACCUGAUAGGACACAAGUCGCUCCGCUCGCGCAUUGCUGCUUUCACCUCUCGGCUUACGGGGUAUUAGCUACGGUUUCCCGCAGUUGUCCCCCUCGCUCGGACACGUCCUUGUGCUUUACUCACCCGUCCGCCGCUAGGAUCUAACAAAUCCACCGAAGUCUCAUCGUCAGAUCCCCGCGCAACUUGCAUGUGUUAAGCACGCCGCCAGCGUUCAUC
rnacentral:rRNA from 1 species